AAGUCGUAACAAGGUUUCCGUAGGUGAACCUGCGGAAGGAUCAUUAAAUAAACGGUCCUUUUGAGGAUGUCUGAAACCCUUGAAUAUACAAACUUAGUUGCCUUGGCGGGCCGCCCUUGGGCGUUGGCCUCGGCUGACUGUGCCCGCCAGAGGACCAAAACUCUUUUGUUUAGUGAUGUCUGAGUACUAUAUAAUAGUUAAAA
rnacentral:misc_RNA from 1 species